AGUCGAGGGAGAUUGUUGGAUUCGUCUGACAUGAAACCGGCGCACGGGUGCGUAACACGUAUGCAACCUACCUUUAACUGGGGUAUAGCUCAGAGAAAUCUGAAUUAAUCCCCCAUAAGACUACGACAUGGCAUCAUGAUGUAGUUAAAGCUCCGGCGGUUAAGGAUGGGCAUGCGGUACAUUAGCUAGUUGGUGAGGUAAUGGCUCACCAAGGCUACGAUGUAUAGGGGGUCUGAGAGGAUGAUCCCCCACACUGGUACUGAGACACGGACCAGACUCCUACGGGAGGCAGCAGUAGGGAAUAUUGGUUAAUGGACGCAAGUCUGAACCAGCCAUGCCGCGUGAAGGAUGAAGGCCCUAUGGGUCGUAAACUUCUUUUAUUAGGGAAGAAAAAAUGGGAUGCGUCCUAUACUGACGGUACUUAAUGAAUAAGGAUCGGCUAACUUCGUGCCAGCAGCCGCGGUAAGACGAAGGAUCCAAGCGUUGUCCGGAUUUACUGGGUUUAAAGGGUGCGUAGGCGGAAAGUUAAGUCAGUGGUGAAAGCCCGCAGCUCAACUGUGGAACUGCCAUUGAAACUGGUUUUCUUGAAUAUAGCUGAGGCAGAUGGAAUAUAACAUGUAGCGGUGAAAUGCUUAGAUAUGUUAUAGAACACCGAUUGCGAAGGCAGUCUGCUAAACUAUUAUUGACGCUGAGGCACGAAAGCGUGGGGAGCGAACAGGAUUAGAUACCCUGGUAGUCCACGCCCUAAACGUUGAUUACUCGCUGUUAGCGAUAUACUGUCAGUGGCUAAGCGAAAGCGUUAAGUAAUCCACCUGGGAAGUACGACCGCAAGGUUGAAACUCAAAGGAAUUGACGGGGGCCCGCACAAGCGGAGGAGCAUGUGGUUUAAUUCGAUGAUACGCGAGAAACCUUACCUGGGCUUAAAUGUC
rnacentral:rRNA from 1 species